CUGCUGCAGAGAAGGAGUACACGCUCGCCUCUGCCGUCCUGUGUUGGGCCUGGCGUGGCCGCCGUGGGGCGCAGCCCCCGUGCAGGCACACGGGCACGGCGCGGGGGGGGGGGGGGGGGCAGACUCAAUUGGGGCAUACACAAAAAACCACCCGCAGCCCACCCACAGGGCUCCGGGCCUCGGACCGCCACUGCCCACACAAGUUCAGAGGGACAGCAAACACAGGGCAACGAGGACUGCCAUCUUGGGCCUGGCUCCUCUUUCCUCGUAGGCUGGGCACCAGCGGGCUCCAUAGGGCCCCUGUCCUUUCAGGAGAUGAGAGGGGCACACCAAUGGCAGUCAAGACCCCGUGGAGGACUAUGUUUCCUCCCAGGACACUCUCUGGGCAGUCCUCUUGUUUUAUAUGGUCUGAUCCCUGCCACCCCGUAGGGUACACAGGGAGAGGGGCUCCGGAGACAGAAGCUGCUGACGGGAAAGCUGGGCAGGGCGGCAGAGUGGAUGGGUGCAGGAGGAAGGCCCUGCACUGGGAGGCCUACAGGGAGGCCCUUGCUUCUUGCCCUCCAGCACGCUGCAAACUCCGGGCAGAAGGCAGCGGCCCCCAGGGGCUACGAGCUGGAAAACUCAAUCCAGGGAAGGCACGGACGGCAUCCGUGUUCUGUCCUGCCCACGCUGUCCCCCUAGUGCCGAAGGGACAUGCUGAUGUCUCUGUCGUUUCAGAAGGGCACGGUGUGGCUGCUGGCCCAAGGCCUCAAAUCCCAAGAGCGGCAGCUCCGGGGACAUUCAAUUUGGCUGAGUGGCCCAGCUGGGAGGCAGUGUCUGCCUGAUGCCUGCUCAGAGUCUGUGCUGAGAGGCUUGGACACAAAAGCCUGGUGUAAAGAUGGCUGCAAGGCCAGGACAAGCCCAGGGAGAAGGCGUUUCUGGCCACCGCAUGAGAGAGAGACUGGGCUGGCCAAAGCAUCACCUUGCUGACCUGCUCCCGAGGCUUCAAGGCAGGUCGUGGCCCAGCACAGCUACUGACUAUCCGGGCAGAGCCCCCGGCGGGUGGGAAGACAGGGCAGGGAACCAUGUGGACGCGCUGGGCAAGUCGGUCCCUGCGGAACGCGUUCCGCAGCACUGCCUGUCCACCCCUGGUCCAGGACCCUGGUGAUGAGUGCUGCUCACAGUACUAGCAGGAGAGCCAGGGAUGAACAGAGACAGGGAAGGCGUCCUGGAAGUAUGGCUGGGUGAGAAAGUCCAGUGCCAUGAGACACGAACUCAUUUAUAUAUUUACAUAAAACCGCCCGCCUGCACACACCUUCAUUUGAGGGUGCGUGAGCAAAAUGGGGCGCACGGAGGGGGCUACAGUCUGUGAAGUCUGCUGCCACCCCUACAACCAGCAGUGCCGGGCCGCGGGGUGCCUGGAACCGGGCCGCAGACCCAUGCCCCGGCAAGGGUGCUGCCAGCUCACCCAGGCCCGUGACAGUGCCUUCCUGCCUCUGGAACAGCCUGCAAGAGCCGGGAAGGUGGGGUGCACAUGUGUUGGGCGUGGGAGGAAUUAGCUGAAGCCAAAGGCGUGACAGGUAGCGCUCGGGAGCCUCCUGGUGUGUUGAGAGGACAACUUCAGCAGCAAGAAACCACCCACCACAUGACAGGAGACACGUGGCCGCAUCCUGGGGGACAGACAGCACAGGACUGCCGCUGCUCCUUGCCAGGACAGCACAAGGAGCCAGCGCUGGAGGUGAUUAGCCUGUCUGUGUGCUCAGUGUCACCUCUGUGGCUCUGGAGACAGCAAUCUGGAGCGAGGACAGCCCUAGGCACUGUCACCCAACAGCAAGCAUGUGGGGGCUUCUGCCCAGCAUGGAGCCACCCCAGCAGUGCCGCCCACACGCCCAUUCAGUCAAACCAGAGAGGGACACGGUGCGGGGGUGGGGAAAGCAUGCACCAAGCAGCAGUAUCUCCAGGACCUGGGCAGAGGGCAGUGCUGUGUGAUCUAACCCCGGACGUAUUCGUCUAACCACACUGAGCACACAGCCCCCACGGCUCACCAAUGUGUUGCCCUCCCAAGCAGGCGGCCCGCCGCUCGCUCUGGAGAUGACAGAUGGCCCAUUCGGGAGAGUGGAGCCAGCCCUGCGGUGGCCCUGGGGGUGACGGUGGGCAGAGAACAAAGUCCAGCCCCGUGCCUUCUGCGAGCACACUCCAAUGUGGAAAACCUGACUUGCAAUGGAGGAAGUCCUCCCCAUCUCAAAGAACGCGCUCUUGUGCGCUCGUGCUGAGCAUGCCCACGCAGGACCGCCUCGGGGCAGCGUAGGCCUGGGGCUGGCAUCGCUCCCGUCCCCUGCUUCUCACCCCGGCACAGUGGCCUGGCCUCUCCAGCAGGAAACUCAGAGUCCCUAUUUGUGAGUGUUCAUUGUACUACUGAGGUAAUGACGGCCACCACCACUGACAACUUCUGAGGCUCAUGCUGCCAACAGCCUGGGACCAUUCCAGGGAAGAGUACCCGUGCGCCAGGAAGAGCUGAAAGUAGGGCAGAGAGAGCUUUGCCAGAAACCCGCCCCGUCUAGGGCGCCGCCCCAUCUAGGGCGUGUGAUGGGCCGGAAAGGCAUCAGGCUGGGUCUGCAGCCAACUCCAGCUGCACUGCCUUCUCCAAAGCCCCGUCUCUCUCUGGGAAUCAGGGACAAAGCCGCGCUGUGACCUCAGAGCAAGCCGCACCCCAUUUUCUCGGCGACACGACCUUGGAAAUGGGAACAUCGCACAAAAGAUCUCAUUUCUCAGUCAACAGAUGGUCGGGGUGCUUCUGGCUACAGUGACAAAAGCUAAUCUCAAACCAAAGGAUUAUGAGCCACAACAGAGACUCACCUGUAACAGACAGCCCCAAGCAAAACCAGACCCUGCUGGCGGCCAGCCCUGCCUGGCCCCUCACGAGCACCUACCCGGCCUGUUUCCCUGCGUCGAUCGGACACACGCUACAUGGGGCUGCCAGCGGCCAAGACACUGCAAAGGCAGUUCCUCACUACAGCCGCGGGGGACAACAGGCCUGCCACUCACCUGCCUUCCGCUCCGAGGGCCCAGCAUCCCGAGAUCCUGAUGCCAGGGUCCUCAGCCUCCUUUCCAGCUUUCCUCCUGGCUUCUAACAACACAGAGGCUCAGGGAAGAGAAGAUUCCAGAUGGGGCUCACACACCUGAAGAGGGGCCGCUCCUGGCCGCCCAGGUAACAAGGGUGUGUCUGCCUCCCUGUCCAGAGGCACUUGGAGGCAGAACUGAACUGUCCAACUUUGCCCACAAGCGCUUCCCCCUCCUGCUCCCUGGCCUGGACAAGCGGGCAGGGGCUGGCCCACACUUGGGAGGCUGGAGCUGUCCUGGACAGGGCUGCAGAGUUGGGGCAUGCAGCACCAGGGCCUUCACUGGUGCCUGACACUCUGUCCAGGUUUAGGAAGUUUGCUGGAUGAGUCAAAUGAGGCUGGAUGGAGGAGGGAGGAGCCAGGCCCCAGUGGACCCCAGACUGCUCAGAGACAGAGGUGUCAGGGGAGUAUUCUCAGGGCAGGUAGAACACUGGGGGGCUGCAGCCUUAAAGGAGCCAAAAACAGGCUCCAGAGACUUGCACAGCCCCUACCCCAUUACCCUGGAAACCUCCCUGCAGAAGUCCCUUGUUCCUGCUGCUCUGGGCGGGUCCAGCCAGCCUCCCUCCAUUCCCAUAGCUGCAAACCCACCUCCACCAGGACCGCACCAGGAGACAGCCCCAGGGGUUCACUGUUAUCACCACCGUUCUCAUUUACCCAUCAGCAUGUCCAGUGCUAAGGGAGUUGGAGUCUCUGUCCUCAUGGAGCUAACCCUCUAGAGGGGCAAGCAGACAAAACACAAGGGCAAAGUGGACAAACCAUACCAGUGCGUCCGCAAUGAUGUGGAAGAAGCUGGAAGGGUGGUCAGGGAGAGCCUUAGCUCAGGGGCACUGGCACAUACACCUAAAAUGCCAACCAGACCCAGCUCCGGGGCCCUUGGGGGGUGUGCAGGGACUGUGGGGGCAGCACAGAGGAACAGCCCUCAGGACACCAGCCAGCAUCAAGG